rnacentral:lncRNA from 1 species
UGGGGGUAAUUCCAGCCUGAGUCUUUUUUUCUGUCCAGGCCCCACCCCCUUCUUCAGGCCCCUCCCUCCGCCGCUUCUGCGCCUGCGGCCUGGAGCUCCGGGGCGCGCGGACGGGCGGGGCGGGGCAGGGCGGAGCGCGCGCGGGGGCGCGGACGCGGGGGCGCGCGCCGCCGCUCCCUGCUUCCCCUGCGAGGCUCGGUCUCGGCGGCUCCGGCUCCGGCUCCGGCGGCCCCGGGCGGGCCGCACCAUGCCCCGCGGCGGAGGAGGCGGAGGAGGAGGCGGGAGCGAGAGCGGACUCGGCAUCGGGCCUCCGGGGAGGCGCUAAGCGGGCUCCGGGGCCAUGGGGGAUGGAGCGGCCGCGGCCCGGCCCGGCCCCGGCCCCGAUCCCGAGCCCUGCCCCGCGGGGCCCUGAGCGCCGAGCGCAGCUGGGCCGGCAGGACCAAUGCCCAGGCCGAGCUGGGCAGCCAGAAGAUGAGCAGGCUGCUGGGGGGGACCCUGGAGCGGAUCUGCAAGGCCGUGCUGCUCCUCUGUCUGGCCCCUGGGCCCCCCAUCCUCUCUUUGGCGCUAUGCCCCACCCUCCCUUCAGUGCCAUGCCCGGGCCAACCCGACCCUUUCCGCCCCGGGCGGGCCGGGCCCCCCCCCCCCAGGCCGGCCCCCCUGGAGGCUCCCCCGGGGGGCCCAUUCGGUUACCACGUUGCCCCUGCCCCCGUGCCCUGACGUGCCACCUGGGUUAGGUGAGGCCCCUCGCAGGGCGUGGGAGGCAGCUCUGUAUGUGGGGGUUCAAUCCCGGGGGGGGGCCCAGGCCCCGGCUUCCCCCGCGCCCCUCCCUCCCCCUGGGCCCGGCGCUGAUUGUUUGGCUCACCCAGCCGGAUCCCAACAGGAGGGAACCCUGGGGAAGGGGGCCGCUUUCCCCCGACCCCCCCUCGCAAACCGUGGCCAUCAUCAUUCCCUUCCCCAACGGGGCACCACCUUGAUUAACUGCCUCCUAUCCCCGGAGCGCUGGCUAUGGCAUCUCGCUCAGCCAGGUGUGGGGGAGGGGGAAAGGGGGUCCAGGGAGCAGGUCAGGCGCCCCGCUUAGCCAGCCCAGAGCCCUGAACCACUAAGGUUGGAGCCCCCUGAGGCCAGUCUGGGCCACUGAGGAACAAUACCACCAAUGUGCCCAGGGUGUCCUCAUCUGCAGAUGUACCAGUGUGCCCAGAGUGUCCCCACUUGCACAUGUGCCAUUGUUCCUGGGGUGUCCCCACCUGCCGAUGUGCCAGUCUGCUCGGGGUGUCCCCACCUGCACAUGUGCCAGUGUGCCCGGGGUGUCCCCACCUGCACAUGUGCCAGUGUGCCCGGGGUGUCCCCACCUGCACAUGUGCCAGGUGGGGUGUCCC